GAGUUCUCAUUUCCCCUUUGUCUCUUUUUCUGCAUGAGCACUUUUUUUGCUUGAUUGUCAUUUUCCCAAGGUCUAUGUUUGUCUCUAAUAUGCUCUAUUAAGAUAGUAAUAAACUGUUUUCUUUGCAGACUGACUAACACAGCAUCCUGGAUAUGUGUAAAGAAACCUGCAAGGAAGCAAGUAAAAAAACAAGCCAAGCCAAGGUUCCCUAGGGCACCUGCAUUACUGCACAAGGAAAGGCACGUGUGUUCACUCAGCGCUGGAAGGAAAGCUGUGCAGAGAGUGAGUGAAGUCACUUGUAAUAAGCUCCCUACUCUGACAACACCCUUCUCUUCCAACAAUGUCUCC